rnacentral:rRNA from 1 species
AACCACUUUGCUUUGAUGGAAAUUUUCAAUAUUGAGUGGUCCCGACAUGGCAACUAUGUGCUCGGGCCAGCGGGGGAUAUUAGGCAACGCCUGAGAGGGUAGCCUAGCCAGACUAUCUUAUCGUGGCUAAGUCAGGUGCCAGCAGCCGCGGUCAUACCUGAACGAUUUGAAAUAGAGUCGACUCUCUUUUUGCUUUAUCAGCCUUAUGCUACCAGUGAAAUGGAGCUAGGUCCCAGACCAUGUCAAGCAGUAGAUACAGAGAAAUUCACACACUAAACUAGGAUUAGAGACCCUACUAUACUGAAGGAAAUAUAACGAAGUCGAGCAGUAAAGUUACAAAACCUAAACUUAAACAGCAUGGCGGUAACUAAGAAUCUCAGGGGAAUUUGUCCGGUAAAUGAUAUCCCACAUGUGGCCCAACACUCCCUCAAAGUUUGUAUAUCGCCGUCCUUGGCAUGGUUUGAGACCAGGUCAACCUCUAUUCCUAGAUAAAGACAGGCCUUUUUGCAGCCCAUGGGGGUGUUCGAGAUGAGUUACAAUCCUUAAUUAGGUCGAACCUGGGGGAUAAACUCCCCCUUCGAAGGUGGACUUGAAAGUAAAUAAAAUAGAAAUUAUUUCUUGAAACAAAAUCUUAGUUGUGCACAAAUCGCCCGUCACUCUCUUUGAAAAACGAGAUAAGUCGUAACAUAGUAGGGGGUAGUGGAAGCUGUCCCU